rnacentral:lncRNA from 1 species
ACUGUGCCUGUUCCAUAGGGAAGGUGUUUGGGCGUAUGGAGGAGAUUGGUUGCUUGUCUCUGAAGCUCAGUGUUGAUGAAAGGCUGGGUGAUUGACUCCCAUAGUGUGAGGGACACACAUUAGUUCAAAAUCUGACCCAGUGUCAUCAGAAGGCCAGGAAAUGUGUGUACCUUUUGAUUCAAUAAUUGAUGUCAUUUGCAGGAGUCUUGUUUAGGAAAUCAUCAGAAAAGGGGAGAAAAGGAAGUGUUUAUGCUAAUAUUAUUUUUUUAUAAUUGCAAAUUAGAAAUAAUAUAGCCAUGUAUAGCCUUCAGGUAUGAAACACCCUUGUGAGAGGGGCAUGAUGCUGAAAUAAUGUAGCUUUUAGAGUGAUGCUCGCACAAACUUUUGCAAUGUAGGCAAAGCUUAUUCAAUUGCAUUCAGUUGUUUAGUGUGUGCGUUCACGUGUGUGUGUGUGUGUGUGUGUGUGUGUGUGUGUGUGUGUGUGUGUGCAUGCUCAAGAAUGAGUGUGCAUGUGUGCUCUUGUUUGCACGCAUUUGUGUGGCACAGCCAAUGUGUGAAAGUCAAAGGACAACUUGCAGGAGUUGGUUCUCUCCUUCCAUCCUGUGAGUUCCAGGAAUGGAACACAGGCCUUCAGGUUUGGGUGGGAGGAAAAGUGCCUUUGCCUGAUGAACCAUCUUGCCACCCUAGGAAAGCUAAUUCUAUAUUAAAGAUGAGUAUUGUACAGUUUUCUCCCAAAUAUUUUUUUAAUGUAAGAAGAAAUGUGCCAAAAUGUUAAUGAUUAUUGCUUCAGGGUGGAACAUUUUCCUAUCAAUUCUGUUCCUCCCCCUGUCAAUAAAGUUUCUGUGUCUGCUUAUUUCAUUAAAUUCUUUCCAGCAUUUAUUUUAAAUAAUUAAUAUUGAUCAGGUGCUGAUUACAUAUCAGCUCUGAUUUAUCAGAGCUGUGUUUGUUGUAGAGGUAACUUCGUUUCUGUGUAUCUGUAAAUGGGUGACAACUCUGAAAGUGACUGUCGGAUGAUUAAGCCCUCAUUGAUGGGGUGGCCUCUUGCAUUGUCCUCACGGUGAAGGUGCUGUCAGCCUCUCAUCUGUUUUUCGUUUGCUAGUAUUUCACAGUCUUAUAAAUACUAACUUGAAAACUGGCAUAUGGUAUUAAGAAACGGUGUGUGUGUGGUAGGGGGGUGUGGAGGUGAGGGGUAGAGAAAUGGCUUAGUAGUCCAGAGCUCUUGAAAAAGACUCAAGCACCCAUGUCACCAAGCUCACAAUUGUCCGUGGUUCCAGCAACCAGGCAAUGUGAGGCAUCUGGCCUAAGGGGGUUCCUGCACUCACACCCUAACCCCCCCCAAUACAUAACUAUAAACAACUUUAAAGCUCUUUGGAAGCAGAAAUGGUGCUAAAGGUGCUAUGAAAAUGUCAAAGAAAUCCAUAUGUAAUAGAUGCUGAAAGUGCAGAAUUUGUAAGAAAAUGCUCACAAGAAUGUCGUCAAGGAAACAAAUCCCAAACCAGCCAGUACUGAGAUUCGGACUCACUGUGCUGCGGGCCCACCCUCACAUCAGAAGGUACAACGGCAUGUAAAGGGCUGAAAGGAGGAGCCAACAACUGUGUAGAAGAGUGGAUAGUAGGUGUGGAAAAAAAUUGUUGGAAUGACAUGACUUGAAGGCAAUGUGAUUGUAUCUGAAAGAACUGUAAGUGUGUUGAAGCAGGCUUUAUCCAAAAACCCUAGGCUAGGAUGAUCUAGGUUAGCUAAUCAUUUUGUUCCAAGGAGUGCAUUGCCUUCAAUGUGGUAAGAGAGAAAGAGACAGAUGCAGUGGUGUGCACUAAUUUUUUUUUCUUUUCAUGUGUAUGGGUGUUAUGCCUACAUGUAUGUCUGUGACCCAAGCCCAUGCAGUGACCUUGAAGGCUAAAGAGGGCAUUGGAUUCUCUAGGAAUGGAAUCACAACUGGUGAUGAGCCAUUGUGUGAGUGUGAGAAUAGACUCUGAGUCCUCCAGAAGAGCAACCAGUGCUGUUAACCAACCACUAAGGCAUCUCUCCAACUCUAGUGGUACACAUUUGUAAUCCCAUCUCUCGUGAUGGAAGAUGGAUGCAGAGGCAGAAGGAUCACCCAAAUCGCCCCUUGAGCCAGUUUGCUUGGAUUAUACAAAACAGCCAAAAUGAGAGAGACUACAUCAACAAGCUGACAGGAGAGAACCGGCUCCUGAAAGUGGUUGUCUGGCCUCCAGGCUUGGAAGUGGCACUCAUGGCCCACAUUCACACACAAGCAC